rnacentral:rRNA from 1 species
UAGGGAAUCUUCGGCAAUGGACGAAAGUCUGACCGAGCAACGCCGCGUGAGUGAAGAAGGUUUUCGGAUCGUAAAACUCUGUUGUUAGAGAAGAACAAGGACGUUAGUAACUGAACGUCCCCUGACGGUAUCUAACCAGAAAGCCACGGCUAACUACGUGCCAGCAGCCGCGGUAAUACGUAGGUGACAAGCGUUGUCCGGAUUUAUUGGGCGUAAAGCGAGCGCAGGCGGUUUCUUAAGUCUGAUGUGAAAGCCCCCGGCUCAACCGGGGAGGGUCAUUGGAAACUGGGAGACUUGAGUGCAGAAGAGGAGAGUGGAAUUCCAUGUGUAGCGGUGAAAUGCGUAGAUAUAUGGAGGAACACCAGUGGCGAAGGCGGCUCUCUGGUCUGUAACUGACGCUGAGGCUCGAAAGCGUGGGGAGCAAACAGA